rnacentral:lncRNA from 1 species
GUAAACAGAAAAAUUGGUCAAUUAAGGCUCAAAUAUUUGGAUCGAAGGGAUUCCUGAUUUAUUUGGCUGGGCAUUUAGGCUCAAGUGAAGUUAAAAUAAAAAUGGCCUAUGAUCAUUUUCUACUUGACUAUCCUAGACCUAGGUAAAAGCAACCGGGCAAGUUCUAGAUUCCUACACACUGAGAACUCAGUAAUACCUAACACACACUUGCACAAGGUUACAUUGCUAAG